GAGUUUGAUCUUGGCUCAGGACGAACGCUGGCGGCGUGCUUAACACAUGCAAGUCGAACGGUAAGGCUCCAGCUUGCUGGGGUACACGAGUGGCGAACGGGUGAGUAACACGUGGGUGACCUGCCCUGCACUUCGGGAUAAGCCUGGGAAACUGGGUCUAAUACCGGAUAGGACCGCACCGUGAGGGUGUGGUGGAAAGUUUUUCGUGUGGAGUGG
rnacentral:rRNA from 1 species